AAAAAGGAAGGAUCUAGAACAAAAAAUUCCCUGCAAAACCAAAGUUUAAUCAUCAAAUAUAGGAGAUUCUAAGAAAGCAGCCAACGAUUACUCUAUCCGUUUGGUUCAAAACUUUAGUUUCUUUAAUCGAUUUUGAGGUUCGCUCCUGUUCGAGUCUAUUCAUAACGAGAGCGUAGAUUCGACGACUUCGACGCCUCAGUUCACCGCGCACAAAACAGUCCCUCGGACUCGUCUUCCUCCGCAUAUGGUGUUGGGCUAACGGCCCAACAUGAUUCUUCUCCUGUCCAGCCCUGUCCAUGGCUAAAGAUAACAAACAUGAGUUAUUGGGCCAAAGCCCAAUAAAUGGUAACAGCCCAUAACAACAAAUGGGCCGCAGCAGCAUAAUCAGCAGCCCAAAACCGGCUGAGCCCAUUUAUUUACAUUUUCUUGCGCCUCUAUUUUACUUUAUUGUAUUCAACUUAUAUUGUUUUGACUAACACUUUAUUUUAUUUCGUCUCUUAGCUUAGAUGAACCUUAGAGAAUUUAGAGGGGUUUUAGUUUUAAUAAUGGGUAGUUAAUUUAAGAAAACUAAUAACUAGUUCUGUAAGCUUCAUCGCCUUUUUUUUUUUAUUAAAGUUAUUUAUAGCGUCCAUAA